CAGAAGAGGAAUUGGUGGUUAGAUGCUCUGCUGCCACUUGGACAUUUUAUUUUAAUUGGAAUAUCGCUUGUGCAGGACCUUCAGUCUUACUACAUUACUUCAUAAGCAAGAUUUUAAUUCACUGUAAGAGGCUACAGCAGCAUUGAAAACUGACAGGAUGCCUCGUGGGAUGGGUUGUGUAGCUGCCAUCCUGCUAUGCAGAAAAAGAAAAGAAGUAAAGCAAGAUUAUUAUCUUUUCUAACUGUACUCACAUCCAGCAGAUAUACUUCACUAGGAAGCAAAUGAAACCUCUUGUGACUAAGUGAAUUAGGCUUCUAUGUGCUAUUGAAUGAAUAGGAGUUAAGCGACUAACUUACUUUGGUGCUUUUGAACAUCUCACCCUACGGUUUUGAUUUUUCCACCCUUACUCACACUGAGAAGGACUCACAUGGAAAUCAAUGAGACCAAAGUGCCUUUCUCGUUGAUUUCACAGAGUUUCUUCACAGAGUAAAGUACAGCUCAAUGUGAGUAAAGGUGGCAAAAUCAGACUGAAAAUUGGAGGCAUUGUAUUUACUGUUUCUUUCAGAUAUAAAGUCAUUGAA